rnacentral:rRNA from 1 species
CCUACGGGAGGCUGCAGUAGGGAAUAUUGCUCAAUGGGGGAAACCCUGAAGCAGCAACGCCGCGUGGAGGAUGAAGGUUUUCGGAUUGUAAACUCCUUUUGUUAGAGAAGAUAAUGACGGUAUCUAACGAAUAAGCACAGGCUAACUCCGUGCCAGCAGCCGCGGUAAUACGGAGGGUGCAAGCGUUACUCGAAAUCACUGGGCGUAAAGAGCGUGUAGGCGGGUUAGCAAGUCAGAUGUGAAAUCCUAUGGCUUAACCAUAGAACGGCAUUUAAAACUGUUGUUCUAGAGAAUGGGAGAGGUAGGUGGAAUGCUUGGUGUAGGGGUAAAAUCCGUAGAGAUCAAAAGGAAUACUCAUUGCGAAGGCGACCUGCUAGAACAUAACGGACGCUGAGGCACGAAAGCGUGGGGAGCAAACAGGAUUAGAUACCCCAGUAGUC